rnacentral:rRNA from 1 species
CAGCAGCCGCGGGAAUACCGAGGGUGCGAGCGUUAAUCGGAUUUACUGGGCGUAAAGCGUGCGUAGGCGGCUAAUUGAGUCGGAUGUGAAAUCCCCGAGCUUAACUUGGGAAUUGCAUUCGAUACUGGUUAGCUAGAGUGUGGGAGAGGAUGGUAGAAUUCCAGGUGUAGCGGUGAAAUGCGUAGAGAUCUGGAGGAAUACCGAUGGCGAAGGCAGCCAUCUGGCCUAACACUGACGCUGAGGUACGAAAGCAUGGGGAGCAAACAGGAUUAGAUACCCGCGUAGUCCCUGUCUCUUAUAC